GCUUUAUAUUAAUUUUUUUAAUAAAAUGUUGAUUUAUAUCUUAGGUAUUAAAAUAACUUAUUAUUUUGUUGGGGUGACAAAAAUAAAUAAUUAACUGUUUUAUUGUUUAAACAUAGAUUUAUGAGUUUUUGAUCCAUUAUUAUUGAUUAUUAGAUUAAGU
rnacentral:rRNA from 1 species